rnacentral:rRNA from 1 species
CGGGGAAUAACCCGUUGAAAGACGGACCUAAUACCGCGAUAAUACUAAAGUUAACUGCAUGGUAACUUUAUUUAAACAUUUAUGGCUUACAGAUGGGCAUGCGCAUGAUUAGCUAGUUGGAGAGGUAACGGCUCCCCAAGGCAACGAUCAUUAGGGGUUCUGAGAGGAAGGUCCCCACACUGGUACUGAGACACGGACCAGACUCCUACGGGAGGCAGCAGUGAGGAAUAUUGGUCAAUGGACGAGAGUCUGAACCAGCCAAGUCGCGUGCAGGAAGAAUGUCCUUAAUGGAUUGUAAACUGCUUUUGCAGGGGAAUAAAGUGCGAUCACGUGUGAUGUUUUGUAUUGUACUCUGCGAAUAAGGAUCGGCUAACUCCGUGCCAGCAGCCGC